ACCUAGCGGCGGACGGGUGAGUAAUGCUUAGGAAUCUGCCUAUUAGUGGGGGACAACGUUCCGAAAGGAACGCUAAUACCGCAUACGCCCUACGGGGGAAAGCAGGGGAUCUUCGGACCUUGCGCUAAUAGAUGAGCCUAAGUCGGAUUAGCUAGUUGGUGGGGUAAAGGCCUACCAAGGCGACGAUCUGUAGCGGGUCUGAGAGGAUGAUCCGCCACACUGGGACUGAGACACGGCCCAGACUCCUACGGGAGGCAGCAGUGGGGAAUAUUGGACAAUGGGCGCAAGCCUGAUCCAGCCAUGCCGCGUGUGUGAAGAAGGCCUUUUGGUUGUAAAGCACUUUAAGCGAGGAGGAGGCUCCUUUAGUUAAUACCUAAAGUGAGUGGACGUUACUCGCAGAAUAAGCACCGGCUAACUCUGUGCCAGCAGCCGCGGUAAUACAGAGGGUGCGAGCGUUAAUCGGAUUUACUGGGCGUAAAGCGUGCGUAGGCGGCUUUUUAAGUCGGAUGUGAAAUCCCUGAGCUUAACUUAGGAAUUGCAUUCGAUACUGGAAAGCUAGAGUAUGGGAGAGGAUGGUAGAAUUCCAGGUGUAGCGGUGAAAUGCGUAGAGAUCUGGAGGAAUACCGAUGGCGAAGGCAGCCAUCUGGCCUAAUACUGACGCUGAGGUACGAAAGCAUGGGGAGCAAACAGGAUUAGAUACCCUGGUAGUCCAUGCCGUAAACGAUGUCUACUAGCCGUUGGGGCCUUUGAGGCUUUAGUGGCGCAGCUAACGCGAUAAGUAGACCGCCUGGGGAGUACGGUCGCAAGACUAAAACUCAAAUGAAUUGACGGGGGCCCGCACAAGCGGUGGAGCAUGUGGUUUAAUUCGAUGCAACGCGAAGAACCUUACCUGGCCUUGACAUACUAAGAACUUUCCAGAAAUGGAUUGGUGCCUUCGGGAACUUAGAUACAGGUGCUGCAUGGCUGUCGUCAGCUCGUGUCCUGAAAAUGUUUGGGUUAAGUCCCCGCAACGAAGCGCAACCCUUUUUCCUUAUUUGCCAGCGGGUU
rnacentral:rRNA from 1 species